rnacentral:rRNA from 1 species
GUCCACGCCGUAAACGUUGGGCACUAGGUGUGGGUUCCAACCAACGGAAUCCGCGCCGUCGCAAACGCAUUAAGUGCCCCGCCUGGGGAGUACGAUCGCAAGAUUAAAACUCAAAGGAAUUGACGGGGGCCCGCACAAGCAGCGGAGCGUGUUGCUUAAUUCGAUGCAACGCGAAGAACCUUACCUGGGCUUGACAUGUACGGAAAAGCCGUAGAGAUACGGUGUCCUUCGGGGCCGUACACAGGUGGUGCAUGGCUGUCGU